rnacentral:rRNA from 1 species
CUACGGGCGGCAGCAGUGGGGAAUAUUGCACAAUGGAGGAAACUCUGAUGCAGCAACGCCGCGUGGAGGAUGACACAUUUCGGUGCGUAAACUCCUUUUAUAUGAGAAGAUAAUGACGGUAUCAUAUGAAUAAGCACCGGCUAACUCCGUGCCAGCAGCCGCGGUAAUACGGGGGGUGCAAGCGUUACUCGGAAUCACUGGGCGUAAAGAGCAUGUAGGCGGAUAGAAAAGUUGGAAGUGAAAUCCUGUGGCUUAACCAUAGAACUGCUUCCAAAACUCUCUAUCUAGAAUAUGGGAGAGGUAGAUGGAAUUUCUGGUGUAGGGGUAAAAUCCGUAGAGAUCAGAAGGAAUACCGAUUGCGAAGGCGAUCUACUGGAACAUUAUUGACGCUGAGAUGCGAAAGCGUGGGGAGCAAACAGGAUUAGAUACCCUGGUAGUC